rnacentral:ribozyme from 1 species
UUUCUUUCUUUGCUUCUUCUUCUUCUUUCUUCUCUUUUCUUUUUUGUCUUUGUAGAUGGGGGACGUUGUCCUUGGAAAAGAAGGGUGGUUGACCAAAUUUGCCGCAGAGAUAAAAGCACAAAAGCUGUGGUUCUUCAUCGAAUGUGGUGUUUUGUUGUAUUCCUCAAGUGAAACAAAAGUUGAUAUUAUUGGUCGUAUUGAAUUGAAAGGGUGUA